AGGUUCUGCUUGAGAACAACCGUAUUUAGCAAGAGAAUCUGUAGCUCUGUUAGCCUCUCUGAAGUAAUGCUCGAUUUUCACCUAAUGGAAAACUUGAAGAAUGGCCCUGCGGCCACAAGAGGCAGGGUUAGUCUAUUUAUAGAAUUUGAACUAGAAACAAGUGAUAUUAUAUCCCCUGCAUUCACAUUGACAAUGAGCUUUUCAAUCCUAUGAAAUUUUGCCAUAAAUAAGCCAUUUCUUAGAGCAUAAAGUUCUGCCAAAAGGAUGAAAGAAGUCUCAAUUGCACGAGAAAAGACCCGAACCCAAUUGUCAUUGGAAUCACGAAUGAACCCACCACCUCCUGCGUAGGCGGAGUUGGGAGAGACCAAAAUAUCCGUAUUCAACUUACUCCAACCUGAGAGAGGUGUUUCCCAGCAAAUGUAGAAGGUAUAACAGAACCGAAUGGGAGAUUUGCCCGACUCUCUCACUUUUAUGUCUUUCAUAUGUUCUUGCCUCCUGCUGUGCCACAUCAGACUUCCCUCUUUCUCAAGGGCUUAUCGGUGGAUUCUGUUUCUUAAAGUGCCGUUGGUCAAGGAUGAUUGGAGCAGUUGCGUCUGGGCUUGUGGUAGUCCUCCUCAAACUGUUUGAACAAAUGCCUGAACCAAAGUUCCCAUCACCAAAACUCUAUCAUCAGGUCUUGGAUGCUGCUGAGCAUUUGGAGCAGGGAGCUACAGAUAAAUAGGUUGAACGUGACCCAGAUGCUCCAGAUCUAUGUUGCCAAGAAGGCGCACUAUUCCAUCUAUAUUCCACCAUGGCACCCUAAGACUAAGCUGCCCAUUUGCCUCUUUGUUCGAGUACUUAUUUUCCUUCUCGCAUAUAUGUCAAUCAUUAUCUAAUCAGGUAGAAGAGAGCAUGAUAUCAGGCAUUACUUGCAUGUGGUGGAAGUCCAACUUAAAGCCCAAUUGAUAAAUAUUACAUAGUUUAGCUUUUAUUUAGAACUUGGUACGUCUACUUUCAUGAGGAAUACCAUUUUGAAUAGUUUAUUAUUAUUAUUUUUGGUUAAGUUUGUUCUGAUAGAAAUUGUGUCACUAUCUUUUGUGUAACU